UCCUCGAUAGCUCAGUGGUAGAGCAAAUGGCUGUUAACCAUUUGGUCGCUGGUUCGAAUCCAGCUCGAGGAGCCA
rnacentral:tRNA from 1 species